UCCGGUUUGACACCGGCAGUCUCGCUAGAGUACUCGCCAUUACGCGUGAGCAACUAACGACAGGGGUUGCGCUCGUUAAGGGACUUAACCCGACACUUCACAGCACGAGCUGACGACAGCCAUGCAGCACCUGUGCACGUUCCACCCAGAGGGUGUGGCCCCGCUUUCACGGGGUUAAUCCGUACAUGUCAAGCCUAGGUAAGGUUCUUCGCGUUGCCUCGAAUUAAGCAACAUGCUCCACCGCUUGUGUGAGCCCCCGUCAAUUCAUUUGAGUUUUAGCCUUGCGACCGUACUCCCCAGGCGGCACAUUUAUCGUUUUUACUCCGACCGAUACGGCGUCAAAACCGCACCGGUCUAAUGUGCAUCGUUUACGGCGUGGACUAC
rnacentral:misc_RNA from 1 species